CUGCCGCGUGGAGGAUGAAGGUCCUCUGGAUUGUAAACUUCUUUUAUCUGGGAAGAAAUGUCUUNUUUUCUAAAGGACUUGACGGUACCAGAUGAAUAAGCACCGGCUAACNUCCGUGCCAGCAGCCGCGGUAAUACGGAGGGUGCAAGCGUUAUCCGGAUUCACNUGGGUUUUAAAGGGUGCGUAGGCGGAAUGGAAAGUCCGUUGUGAAAUCUCCGAGCUUUAACUCGGAAAUUGCGGUGGAUACCUAUCANUUCUUUGAAUACCUGUUGAGGUUAGCGGAAUAUGUCAUGUAGCGGUGAAAUGCAUAGAUAUGACAUAGAACACCAAUUGCGAAGGCAGCUGGCUAAACAGAUAUUGACGCUUGAGGCACGAAAGCGUGGGGAUCAAACAGGAUUAGAUACCCUGGUAGUCCAAGGGCG
rnacentral:rRNA from 1 species